rnacentral:lncRNA from 1 species
UUUUAAGGCUAGUGAAAUAAUCCUCCUCCUUUCAGAGGAGGGCCACAGAUAAAUGAUCUGAGAUGGAAUAUCCCUAGGAAGACAGGCUGAGAGAGCUCGAUUUGUUCAACCUGGAGGAGAGAAGGCUCCAGGGAGACCUUUCAGUGGCCUUUCAGUAUCUAAAGCAGCAGAGGGGCAGUCUGACAGAAUGACCUCUGAUACAGAAGCACGGAUGAAGCAAAGGAGUGUCACUGAAUUCCUCCAUGAGGAAGAAAAGGCACCCGUUGAUGUUCAUCGAUGCUUGCUGAAUGUUUAUGGAGACCAAACAAUGGAUGUGAGCACAGUGAGGUGGUGGCUGAUGAUUCAACAGUGGCAAUAGUGACAAUUUGACUCUACCAAACAUUACUGAAUAAUCUUAAGAGAAAGUCCAAACAUAUCCAGAAAUCUGAAAAUAAGAUAGAGACACCAAGUAUGACCUGGGAAAAGAGAUCAGUAUUAGAGAGCAUCCAAGAUGGAAUUUGUUAAUUUUCAUGGCAUAAUUGAACAAAAAGUAAAGCCAUUGAUUUCAAAAAUGAUCUGCCAUUUUGGAUAUGUGCGUUUCAAGUGAUUCUUAAUUAAGAUACCAUUUUCAGAGUGAAAGAUCCCAACUCACAUUAGAUAGAGAGUGGGAACUCAGGUCUGGAAUAGUCUUGGAGUUGGAUCUUCUACAUCUAAGAAGAGAAUAAUAGAAAAUGUGCCAUCAGAAAAAAAAAAUAAAAAAAUCCAGCAGUAG